UUUUAGCUUUCAGUUUUCCUGGAACCGCUGCCUCACCCGGAUCCAAUCCGGUUUGUUUGCCCCAUACGGCGACAUUUGGUCAAUAAAUUAUCAUUUUUACAAACGCCCCCCAGAUGGAAGUUCCAUCGCAACGUUCGCAAAAUCGAAUAAGCAUCGGGGAAUUAUUGCUGCUGAUUGCUGGUUGUUCGCUCAAUUAGCUGUCAAUUAAUUGAUAAGCGGAGGAAGUCCCGCCAAUGGGAUGGAAAUGAGAUACCAGUGCUGUCUUCCCUUUCCGAUAGGGGUAUAUGGUGCUAUACGACCUUAUCAAUUCGAUUGCCAACCGUUUGUUUAUUUGCUGUUUUUCCAAUUCACUUUGAAGAGUGCACAGCAGUUUCAAUUAAUUAAUUAACAGGAAGUUCUGAUUGAUUCUGAUUUUUCUAUGUGUGAAAGCUGCCUACAUUUGAAUAUGUAUGUUUGUGUUUGCUGCAGCCAACAAAAUGCUUGACAGAGUCUGCCAAUUUCUGGCUCCCUCGUCGCCUCGAACUACUCAACUACGAUACGCAUACGCACCGUUGCCCAAUUCCGAUUUCAUUUGCAAUUUAAGUCUGCCCGAUGAUUAAUAUCCAGCCCGUUCCAUACCAUCCCAUCCCGUUCCGUUCCGCUCUUGUCAUAGGCACUGCACUCCACUUCCACAGUCCCCGACCUCUCUCUAAAGUUGGCUUUAAUAAAUGUGCUGGAGACAUAGAAAUCUCUAGAGCAAACAUUU